UGUCAAAACCUAAAACAGUACUCCCUCUGUCGAAAAAACUUGUCUCAGGCUUGUCUCUCAAAUGGAUGUAUCUAGCACUAACUUUGUGCUAUAUAUACAUCCAUUUGAGGGACAAGUUUUUCCAGACAGAGGGAGUACAAUGUUGUUGAACAGAGAUUCCAUACCACUGAUAUCGCAAAGAUUCAGAGCCUCCAUAGCCGACCUACCAAAAUUCGCAGGCAAACUGGAAAUCUAAGCCUCCAAGAGGGCCAAAUUUUCUUCUAAAAGGAGGGGCUAAUUAAUUGUAGACGUACAUUGCCCCAUGUUAUAUUACACAUGUUAUUAUAGCUGGGGUACUUUACCCAGGAUACUUGUCGUCGGCUCUGAGAAUUUGAACUUACAUGCUUCAGUAAAACAUCCAGCAAAGAGACCAUACGAGAUGACCUGACACUACUCCACAGAUGAACACGACUAUUUGCUGGCCUGAUGGCUCACCAGCCGGAAUUCAGGCUU
rnacentral:lncRNA from 1 species